GCAACAGAUGAUUAUCACUAUGAGAAAUUCAAGAAGAUGAAAGGACAGGAAAUAAUAUUUCGUUCUCUUUCUUUUGAAGGGUCUCCUCCAAAUCGCAAACGUCCAGCCAAUGAAAAAGCAACAGAUGAUUAUCACUAUGAGAAAUUCAAGAAGAUGAAAGGACAGGAAAUAAUAUUUCGUUCUCUUUCUUUUGAAGGGUCUCCUCCAAAUCGCAAACGUCCAGCCAAUGAAAAAGCAACAGAUGAUUAUCACUAUGAGAAAUUCAAGAAGAUGAAAGGACAGGAAAUAAUAUUUCGUUCUCUUUCUUUUGAAGGGUCUCCUCCAAAUCGCAAACGUCCAGCCAAUGAAAAAGCAACAGAUGAUUAUCACUAUGAGAAAUUCAAGAAGAUGAAAGGACAGGAAAUAAUAUUUCGUUCUCUUUCUUUUGAAGGGUCUCCUCCAAAUCGCAAACGUCCAGCCAAUGAAAAAGCAACAGAUGAUUAUCACUAUGAGAAAUUCAAGAAGAUGAAAGGACAGGAAAUAAUAUUUCGUUCUCUUUCUUUUGAAGGGUCUCCUCAAAUCGCAAACGUCCACUCAAUGAAAAAGCAACAGAUGAUUAUCACUAUGAGAAAUUCAAGAAGAUGAGUAGGCGAUACUGAUGAACAUGGAGUUGUUCUUAUUUUCCACUAAUAAAGGAUUUUGUGUCAAUGACCUGAAAUGGAGUUGGGGAGAGUCACUACCUUCACAUGCUGGUGUUACCUACAAAGCUUUUCUUGUGAUCUUGUAGUGAAUCGGUUCGCAGGGCCUUUGCUGUGCAGAGUGUGUAAGGCUGAGAUCGUGCAGGAGUGUGUUCAGUGCCGCUGCUCCUCAACCUGGCUUGCAAGCGCUCCGGGAGAAAUCACAGCGUUGGCUGUGCCUGGCGCUGCCUCGCUGGGUCUGUCAUCAGCGCAAGGAGCAACAGCAGAUACAUAGUGCUGGGGAUUUUAGGUGAUAAGCUGUGUUGUUCUGUAUCUUUUUCUCCCUGUAGAGUUACUUCUAUAGCAGUUCACUGCCUUUUAUUUUAGCUGCGAAGAAGAAGAAAAUUGGAUCAGCUUGUAACUGUUGAAUUGGAGGAAAAUCUCACUUUCAGCUCUUAGGACAGGGUCAAGAGGCAGCUGGUGAAGAGGCCAGAGGACCCGCAGCCGGUGUCAGCCACGUCUUCCCAGGAGAUGUGCGGGUACUCGAAGCCAAGAUUUGGAACUUGCAAAUAAUAAAAGUGUUUUUAAGUGAUCG